rnacentral:rRNA from 1 species
UACGUAGGGGGCUAGCGUUGUCCGGAAUCAUUGGGCGUAAAGGGCGUGUAGGCGGCCCGGUAAGUCCGCUGUAAAAGUCAAAGGCUCAACCUUUGAAUGUCAGUGGAUACUGCCGGGCUAGAGUCCGGAAGAGGCGAGUGGAACUCCUGGUGUAGCGGUGGAAUGCGCAGAUAUCAGGAAGAACACCAACGGCGAAGGCAGCUCGCUGGGACGGUACUGACGCUGAGACGCGAAAGCGUGGGGAGCGAACAGG